UGAGUAACACGUGGGUGAUCUGCCCUGCACUUCGGGAUAAGCUUGGGAAACUGGGUCUAAUACCGGAUAGGAGCCAUCUUUAGUGUGGUGGUUGGAAAGUUUUUCGGUGUAGGAUGAGCUCGCGGCCUAUCAGCUUGUUGGUGGGGUAAUGGCCUACCAAGGCGGCGACGGGUAGCCGGCCUGAGAGGGUGUACGGCCACAUUGGGGCUGAGAUACGGCCCAG
rnacentral:rRNA from 1 species